rnacentral:rRNA from 1 species
AGAGUUUGAUCAUGGCUCAGAUUGAACGCUAGCGGCAUGCCUUACACAUGCAAGUCGAACGCGAAAGUAGGGGCAACCCUGCGAGUAGAGUGGCGAACGGGUGAGUAACACAUCGGAACGUACCCAGGAGUGGGGGACAACCUCGAGAAAUCGAGGCUAAUACCGCAUACGUCCUGAGGGAGAAAGCGGGGGAUCCGUAAGGACCUCGCGCUCAUGGAGCGGCCGAUGUCGGAUUAGCUAGUUGGCGGGGUAAAAGCCCACCAAGGCUACGAUCCGUAGCUGGUUUGAGAGAACGACCAGCCACACUGGGACUGAGACACGGCCCAGACUCCUACGGGAGGCAGCAGUGGGGAAUUUUGGACAAUGGGGGCAACCCUGAUCCAGCCAUGCCGCGUGAGUGAAGAAGGCCUUCGGGUUGUAAAGCUCUUUCGGCCGGAACGAAAUCGCGUACGUGAAUAACGUGCGUGGAUGACGGUACUGGAAGAGGAAGCACCGGCUAACUACGUGCCAGCAGCCGCGGUAAUACGUAGGGUGCGAGCGUUAAUCGGAAUUACUGGGCGUAAAGCGUGCGCAGGCGGUUCUGCAAGUCAGAUGUGAAAUCCCCGGGCUUAACCUGGGAACUGCGUUUGAAACUACGGAGCUAGAGUACGGCGGAGGGGGGUGGAAUUCCACGUGUAGCAGUGAAAUGCGUAGAUAUGUGGAGGAACACCGAUGGCGAAGGCAGC